CGCUAUCAUCCUACGGGAGGCAGCAUGGGGAAUAUUGCACAAUGGGCGCAAGCCUGAUGCAGCCAUGCCGCGUGUAUGAAGAAGGCCUUCGGGUUGUAAAGUACUUUCAGCAGUGAGGAAGGUAGUGUAGUUAAUAGCUGCAUUAUUUGACGUUAGCGACAGAAGAAGCACCGGCUAACUCCGUGCCAGCAGCCGCGGUAAUACGGAGGGUGCGAGCGUUAAUCGGAAUUACUGGGCGUAAAGCGCAUGCAGGUGGUUUGUUAAGUCAGAUGUGAAAGCCCGGGGCUCAACCUCGGAAUAGCAUUUGAAACUGGCAGGCUAGAGUCUUGUAGAGGGGGUAGAAUUUCAGGUGUAGCGGUGAAAUGCGUAGAGAUCUGAAGGAAUACCAGUGGCGAAGGCGGCCCCCUGGACAAAGACUGACGCUCAGAUGCGAAAGCGUGGGGAGCAAACAGGAUUAGAUACCCUGGUAG
rnacentral:rRNA from 1 species